UACGGAGGAUCCGAGCGUUAUCCGGAUUUAUUGGGUUUAAAGGGUGCGCAGGCGGGGGAUUAAGUCGGCGGUGAAAUUUUGCAGCUCAACUGUAAAAGUGCCUUCGAAACUGGUUUCCUUGAGUGUAGAUGAAGUAGGCGGAAUUUGUGGUGUAGCGGUGAAAUGCAUAGAUAUCACGAGGAACUCCGAUUGCGCAGGCAGCUUACUAAACUACUACUGACGCUCAGGCACGAAGGCGUGGGGAUCAAACAGGAUUAGAUACCCGUGUA
rnacentral:rRNA from 1 species